GCUAUACAUGCAGUCGAACGCUUCUUUUUCCACCGGAGCUUGCUCCACCGGAAAAAGAGGAGUGGCGAACGGGUGAGUAACACGUGGGUAACCUGCCCAUCAGAAGGGGAUAACACUUGGAAACAGGUGCUAAUACCGUAUAACAAUCGAAACCGCAUGGUUUUGAUUUGAAAGGCGCUUUCGGGUGUCGCUGAUGGAUGGACCCGCGGUGCAUUAGCUAGUUGGUGAGGUAACGGCUCACCAAGGCCACGAUGCAUAGCCGACCUGAGAGGGUGAUCGGCCACAUUGGGACUGAGACACGGCCCAAACUCCUACGGGAGGCAGCAGUAGGGAAUCUUCGGCAAUGGACGAAAGUCUGACCGAGCAACGCCGCGUGAGUGAAGAAGGUUUUCGGAUCGUAAAACUCUGUUGUUAGAGAAGAACAAGGAUGAGAGUAACUGUUCAUCCCUUGACGGUAUCUAACCAGAAAGCCACGGCUAACUACGUGCCAGCAGCCGCGGUAAUACGUAGGUGGCAAGCGUUGUCCGGAUUUAUUGGGCGUAAAGCGAGCGCAGGCGGUUUCUUAAGUCUGAUGUGAAAGCCCCCGGCUCAACCGGGGAGGGUCAUUGGAAACUGGGAGACUUGAGUGCAGAAGAGGAGAGUGGAAUUCCAUGUGUAGCGGUGAAAUGCGUAGAUAUAUGGAGGAACACCAGUGGCGAAGGCGGCUCUCUGGUCUGUAACUGACGCUGAGGCUCGAAAGCGUGGGGGAGCAAACAGGAUUAGAAUACCCUGGUAGUCCACGCC
rnacentral:rRNA from 1 species